AUUAAAGCAAUGGUGGUGUAGCUAGUCCUGGUAAGAAGUGCCAAGUGAUGAAGACGGAAACAAUAGUGAAAAUCAUUGAGACCGUGGAACCAGGACUGACUGGAGCCACGUGAAGAGAUGCUGGAUCCCAUAAUUGCAUGAGUGGUGCCCUAUGAGCAGAUUUCUAUUGACCAGUGAAAAACUGCUUUGUUUGUGGAUGGCACUUCCAAGGUGAAAAACAACAUCCUAUUUGGAAUACUGUGACAUUAAGGCCAGCAGGUUCAAAGACUGAUUGAAGGAGAUGUGGACUGUCAAUCAACUGUUAUCAGAUGCUUGAAGAAAAUCUCUAACAUAGGGAGACUCCAACAAAACAAGAUAGAACCGAAAAAGAAAACCUGUAAAAAAAAAAAAAAAAAA